AUUGAACGCUGGCGGCAGGCCUAACACAUGCAAGUCGAACGAGUGGCGGACGGGUGAGUAAUGUCUGGGAAACUGCCUGAUGGAGGGGGAUAACUACUGGCAACGGUAGCUAAUACCUCAUACCAUCAGAUGUGCCCUGGUGGGAUUAGCUUGUUGGGGGGGUAACGGCUCACCAAGGCGACGAGCCCUAGCUGGUCUGAGAGGAUGACCAGCAACACGGGAACUGAGAAAAGGUGCAGACUCCUACGUGAGGCAGCAGUGGGGAAGAUGGCACAAGGGGCAGAAGCCUGAGGCAGCCAUGCCGCGUGUAUGAAGAAGGCCUUCGGGUUGUAAAGUACUUUAAGUGGGGAGGCGUUACCCGAAGAAGAAGCACCGGCUAACUCCGUGCCAGCCGCCGCGGUAAUAC
rnacentral:rRNA from 1 species